GCGGCGCUCUGGGCCGCUGGUGGCUGCAGGAGGGGCCGCGCAGCCCGGCCGGGCUCCGUCCCGCUGCCCCGCCGGGGCCCGUCCCGCUGCCCGGCCGCGCCUCCCCUCCCCGCGGGCUGCCGGGGCAGGUCCCGCGGGCAUCCCGCCCGGCGCCGGGCUCCCCUCGGCCACUCGCGGGAGGCGGGCGCGCAGGCCCAGCGCUGCUCCCGCCUUCCCCGCUGAAGGGCUGGGCCGUUUCCUCCCCUCUGAGGACCUGACCUCGCUCUUUUCCGUAUCAGGGAGUCCCAGCUUUGCGCGGCCUGCUGAUUUGAUCAGCACACCUCGUUCCUGUCCUGACAGAGGCAUCGCCAUGCUCGAGCUGAAAAAGUAACCUAGCAGAUAAGCAUUCCUUUUAUCAUAAAAGCAAACACGAUGGACCAGCCUCAGAACAACAGCAACUACAAAUACAAACGCAGUGACUGUGGCAGUCUUGGCACUUGAAUGAGCACUUCAUUGAGAUGAAUAGCACAAAUGGAUUUCACUUCCCCUACGUUUACUGAAGGAAGCACAAAAGCUGUCUUGCACAGAGACAAGUGUUUUCAUUGUGAACCAUUACAGAAACUUCCCAACGCACAUCCUCUGAUUCCAAGCCUUCCUUACGUAAGCUUAGACCAGCUUCAACUUCCUUCUGCUGUUAGGAUACAGUUACUCCAUUUUAAAUAGUUCAUCUCCAUGUUUAAUUUAAUGGAAGCUUAUAAUAUAUUGCUAGAUGACAUGAAAGUAUGCUUCUGAUGGCCUGCAAAUUUGACAGAAGCAAUGAGGGGAGGAGGUGGGGAGAGCUGAUGAUUCCAGAAUUUCUACAUGUAUUUCUGCUCUAAACCCCAUAAAUAACUGUAAUUACCAUGCUAACAGGAAACAGAAAUGGGAGGGGUAGUUUUAUUUUUUCUUUAUACAAUCAGCUGCAUCAUAGACUUAGCAAAGUAAGUCAGUGUAGGAUGAGGAAAUUCCCAGCUACAUAAACAAAGCACACGUCCAUCAGAGGCAAAAGGUACAGCUGAGCACAUGUACAGCA